UCUAAGUCUUAGUGCAGAGACAGUGUGCAUUGAGAGUGAGAGAGAGACACUGUUGAAGUUGAAGCAUAAUCUUAUUGAUCCUUCAAAGAGACUUUCUUCUUGGAAUGCUUCUCUCAAUCCCAAUUGUUGUCAUUGGUAUGGAGUUCUCUGCAACAACGUCACAUCCCACGUUGCAGAGCUUCACCUCACCACUCCACUUCCUCUUUAUGAUGAGAUCCUAGGUCGUGUUGUUUAUGAAGAAGCAUACGAAGAGUAUAAUAGAAGGGCAUUCAGUGGAGAGAUAAAUCCUUGUUUGGUUAAUUUGAAGCAUUUGAAUUACUUGGAUUUCAGCGGCAAUCUUUUUCAAACUCCAUUUCCUUCUUUCAUAGCAACAAUGACUUCCUUAACUCACCUCAACCUUUCUAAUGCUGAAUUCAUGGGGAACAUUCCUCCUCAGAUUGGAAAUCUCUCCAAUUUGCUCUAUCUUGAUUUAAGUGAUGCUGCCAACGGAACAAUUCCUUCCCAGAUAGGGAAUCUCUCCAAUUUGUUGUACCUUGACCUCUCUUAUGCAUUCAACGGAAGAAUUCCUCCUCAGAUAGGGAAUCUCUCCAACUUGCUCCACCUCGACCUCCAAGGAAUAUAUUAUGAUGAAGAAUUAUUUUAUGAAAAUGUUGAUUGGCUGUCAAGUCUUUCCAAGCUUUCUUAUCUUCACUUGACCAACAUUCAGUCACUUGUAAGAGGUAUGUCAUUUCCUUCUUUUCUUGGCUCAAUGACCAACUUAAUUCACUUGGACCUCUCUUUUUCUGGAUUUAUGGGCAACAUUCCUUCCCAGAUUGGUAAUCUUUCCAAUUUGGCGUAUCUAGACUUAAGUUAUGCUGCCUAUGGAACUAUUCCCUCUCAAAUUGGAAAUCUUUCUAACUUGCUUUACCUUGACCUACAAGGUCGUUAUUUUGUUGGAAAUGUUUACUGGUUGUCAAGUCUUUCAAAACUUGAAUAUCUUGAUUUGGGAGGUACAAACCUAUCCCAAUCAUUUCAAUUGCUUCACACCUUCCAACUUCUUUCUUCUUUGAAGCACUUAUAUUUGUCAGAAUGUACACUCUCUUGGUAUAAUCAACCAUCCUUUCUUAACUUUUCGUCUCUCAUCACUCUUGAUCUUUCCCAUAUUUCUUAUUCUUCUACAAUUUCUUUUAUUCCAAAGUGGGUAUUUGGACUGAAAAAUCUUAUUUCUCUUUUCUUAUAUGAAAACAACUUUGGAGGUCCAAUUCCGGAUGGUCUUAGAAACCUCACACUUCUUGAAAAUCUUGAUUUGGAUGAAAAUUUAUUAUCAUCUUCUAUACCUCAUUGGCUUUUUGGUGUUCUUUCUCAUCUCAAGUUCUUGGACCUAUCACAUAACAACUUACAAGGAGUUAUUCCUAAUAAUUUAGGAAAUGCUACUUCUCUUAUUACACUUUAUAUGGUACGUAAUCAACUUGAAGGUCCAAUUCCAACAUCAUUAGGAAAAGUGGCUUCUCUGGUUAAACUUGAUCUAUCAUACAAUAAACUUGAAGGUCCAAUUCCAACUUCUUUGGGAAAGGUGACCUCUCUAGUUACACUUGAUUUAUCACACAAUCAACUUUCAGGCAAUCUAAAACUAGAUUAUUAUGGCAGCAACGUUGAUGGUGAACAUCCAAAAUCACAUGGAAAACUUUCAUCAUUGAGAGUUCUUAAGUUGUCUUCAAAUCAUCUUGGUGGAAAUCCAUUUAAAAGUCUUGGAUCACUCUCUAAAUUGGUACACCUUGACAUUGAUGACAAUCAUUUCCAAGGAGUUGUCAAUGAAAGUCAUCUUGAAAAUCUUACAAGCUUGAGAUAUUUUUAUGCAUUAGGAAACAAUUUGACUUUAAAAGUGGCUCGCAAUUGGCAUCCUACUUUCCAACUUAUCCGUUUGGGUAUGAGCUCUUGGCAAUUAGGUCCCAACUUUCCAUCAUGGACUCACUCACAAAAUGAACUUGAAGAUUUAGAGAUGUCUAAUACAAGGAUUCUAGAUUAUAUUCCCCCUUACUUUUGGAAGGCUUUUUAUUCUCUAAAAUAUCUAAAUCUCUCUAAUAAUCAUAUUCAUGGUAAGAUUGAAAAUUCAUUGGCAAAUCCAUUAUCUUUUAUGAUCAUUGAUCUAAGCUCAAAUCACUUGCAUGGAAAAUUACCAUUUUUUUCUAGUGAUGUUAUAUUGUUAGAUCUCUCAGGUAAUUCAUUCUCUUCCAUGUAUGAUUUCUUAUGUUGCAAGCAAAUCAAGACAUUUGACUUGAAUCUUNUCAAUCUUGCUUAUAAUAACUUAUCAGGAAAAAUACCUGAUUGUUGGAAAAAGUGGCCAAAUUUGAUAAAUGUAAAUCUACAAAGCAACCUUUUUGUUGGGAACAUGCCCUUGUCCAUGGGCUCUUUAGCUCGAUUACAGUCUUUGAACAUCCGUAACAACUCAUUAUCAGGAAUAUUUCCUACUGCUUUGAAGAAGAUCAACAAUUUGAUAACCUUGGACAUUGGAGAAAAUAAUCUUUCCGAAACUAUUCCAACAUGGAUUGGAGAAAAGUUGCCAAGAAUUAAAAUUCUUCGCCUUCGAUCAAACAAUUUUUCAGGUCAUAUUCCAAAUGGCAUAUGUGAUAUGAUAUUUCUUCAAGAUUUUGACCUUGCACAAAAUAGUUUGUCUGGAAAUAUUCCAAAUUGUUUAAACAACUUUACUGCCAUGUUCCAAAAAAACAAGAGUACAGAUUUAAUUAUCCAUACCAAUGACACAAGAUCAAAUGCAAUCAGUAUUAUCGUAUGGACAAAAGGAAGGCCUUUAUUGUAUAAUAGUAUUCUUGGCUUGGUGACAAAUGUUGAUCUUUCAAAUAAUAAGUUAUCAGGAGAGAUACCUAGAGAAAUUACUAGAUGGUUUAAUAUAUUUGAAUUUAUCUGGGAAUCAAUUGUCUGGCCAAAUUCCACCAAGUAUUGGCAAUAUGAGAUUAUUAGAAUCUAUUGAUCUAUCAUGGAAUCAAUUAUCAGGAAAAAUCCCUCCAACCAUAUCAAACUUGAGCUUUCUCAACAACCUAGAUUUGUCUCAUAACCAUUUAGAGGGAGAAAUUCCAACAGGCACUCAAAUUCAAAGCUUUGAAGCAUCAGACUUUGUGGGAAAUAAUUUGUGUGGUCCACCCCUACCCAUCAAUUGCACUUCCAAUCACCAAAUUCCAUAUAUUGACCGCUCAAAAACACAAAAUGGUGGGCAUGGAGUGAAUUGGUUCUUCGUGAGCUUCACAGUUGGAUUUAUUGUGGGAUUUUGGAUAGUUAUUGCUCCUUUGUUAGUUUAUAGAUCAUGGAGGUAUGCAUAUUUUUCCUUCCUUGAUAACAUGUUCUAUAAAGUACAAUCAUAUUGGUGAUUGUUGAUUUGUAAUGUAACACUUGUUUUAGUUGAUGGUCAUCUAUCUCUGUAUGAAUGUGUGGUCUACAUUUAUGUUUGUGUUAACACAUGUUUUUGUAUUUUCUUCAUCUUAUAAAAUGCCAAAAAGUUUAUGUUUUUCGUGUUUAUUUACAUUAUUAGUGUUUCGUAUUUCAGUUUAUUUAAAUAAUCUAAUUCUUAUUUUCUUCUCUUUCAUUCCUCAUGCCAUUAAAGGAUAAAUGUAUUUUCUUCUAAUAGUUCUACUAGAAUAAAAUGCAAUACAUAUAUUUUGUCUCUGCUAUUGUUUUUGGGAUGCACAUAUCAUCCACACCUACGUGAAAGUUUUAUUAAUUAUAUAAAGAUUAUUUUAGGAUAUCCUAUUAGGUCACAUUUCUUAUUAAACGAAUUUAGGAAAAGUUGCUUAUCUUUUAUAAAAUUCUAAAAAAAAAUAAAUAGAGAACCUUAUAUUUCUUAAAAGAAAAAGACAUAAAGUUGAUUAAACCAAUUUUUUGAAACUUUGCUAAUUCUUUUUGUCAACAUUGUUGUUAGUUGUGUGGGGCCUCAACUUGCUCUUGUAGUUGCUCUUGUAGGCUGUAUCAAUUAGUACUAUUUAUAUUUCCAGCUAGCUUACCUUGUGAGUAUCUAGAUUAUUUAAUUAUUUAUGAUCCUUUUUUAUAUUAGUUUACCUUAUUAUUUCUUUUGGUGUUUUUUGUAUGUUUGUUAGUUUGCUUUGCGAUUAUCACUUUAUUUGUAUGAGCAGAUGAAGUAUAAACAUUGAAGCAUAUCUAGUGAAGAUAGUGAUGUUGUAGAGUAUUCUUCCUUAUCAUCACUAGUGCAAAAUUAGGUUUUAACGUUACGCAAUAGACGUCAGUUCAGAAAACACCCAACGUAAAUUAUUGACCGGUGGUAUUUUCAUAAAUAAGUGGACAUAUAGACGUCGGUUAGGAGGAGUCCCAUAGACGUCGGGCCCCUACUAACUGACAUCUAUAUGUCUGACAGGUAGGUGAAAAGUCAUUUCUUUCUACCUUAUAGAUGUCAGUUAGAAAGGGCACCGACGUCUAUAAUAUUAUUGACAUCGGUGUCCCUCUAACAUGACGUCUAUAUGUCUGAAAGGUAGGUGAAAAGUCAUUUCCUUUCGCCAUCCAGACGUCUGAUCCCGUCACACCGAUGUCUAUGAUUAUAGACGUCGGCUCCCCCUACAUCUGACGUCUAUAUAUACCACAAAUAUUAAUUUUUAAAUCAAAUGAACGUCACAUUAGUGAGGACCUGACGUAUAUUCUAGAAUAGACGUCGAGAAACCGACGUCUGAUAUCAUGUUAAAUAAGUCACUCGCAGUUACACAUACUUCAUUGUCUUCCUUCGUUUUUCUCUUUGCAGCAUUGCAUUUCCAGGUGCGUUUUCUCUUCGAACCAUUUAAACUUAUGUUUACUUCGAUUAAAUUAAUUUUUGAUGUUUUAUCUUUUGUUUGAACCGAUCAAAAUGAGUUUUAAUUGUGUUUUGGUGUGGUUUUUCUUGUGUCUAUAGGUAGUGUAGUGCACCUCCUCCCUUUGCUAGCUUCCUCAUAAGAAAAGCUUACGUCUUUUGGGUCUCUUAUGGCAUUUCAACUUGAAGCCGAACUUGGGUCCUUGCCUAAUUUCCAUGUCACCGUACUCUUGCGGUUGAAAUGGAACCAGGCAACGACCCAGGUUCGAUUUUUGGUUGAAAUGCCAUAUGAGAUCCAAAAGACAUGAUUUUUUAUUACGAAGAAGCUAGUAAAGGGAGGAGGUGUUACAACGCUACCCAAAGACACAAGCAAAACUGCAUCAAAACACAACGAAUACUCAGUAAACGUCAGUUAAUGACAUAUCCAACGUUAAUUGUGCCCUUAGAUGCCAGUUAGGGCUAUGUAUGACGUCUUUAUAGUGCCCUUAGAUGUCGGUUAGUGACAUGUCUGAUGUCUUUAUAGACGUCGGACAUGACAUUUAACCGAAGUCUUUGUAGACGUCGGAGAUGCAAAUUCUGACGUCCCAUUAACGUCACUCAUAUAGACAUCGGUUCUGGAUGUGACGUUAAAAGCCCAAAAUAACUGACGUCUAAAGCUCUUUCUACACUAGUACGUCUAGUAAUUUUCCUUAAUUGCUUUAGAUAUAUUGUAUUAUUGCGGUUGUUGUUUUUAUAGAUAAUUGUAUUAAUACCAUGUAUUUAUAUGUUGAGACACUCUAUUUUGUUCAUCAAUUUUAUAAUGUCUUAUUUGAUAAGUUGUAAGUUGUUAAAAUUGGGAUAUUAGAAAACCAUAAAAUAUAAAAUUUACACAUUCAUUUUAUACAAAUAAAUUUUUUAAAAAAUUGAUAAUAAAAAUAAAAUUUUAAUAAAAGAAUAUAAAAAUAUCUUUAUAAGUUAGGUAUUUAUAUGAGUUAUAUAUUUAUUAUUCUUUCCUACAACUUAGAUUAUUCCAAAGAUAAAAACUUUAAAUGUGAUGGAUUGGCCUAACAAUGAUAUUUGAGCGAGUCACUGUUAAGUGAAGAUAGAGAUAAUACAUUUAGUGUGAACUAUAAAGAGUGUUUAAAAUAGAUAUUAAGAUUAAGUUUAAAAAAUAAUUAUUGGUUGUCAAUUAGUAAAAAUGAAGUUAAAUAAAAUAAUAACAUUAAAAGUGAUUUAAGGAGUCAGUAAAUUUUAAAAAUUAUUUUGAUAAAUAAAGUUAACAAUUUGUUUAAAUAGAUUAUUGUCGUUUAUUUCUUUCAUACAUUUUAGUAUAAUAUGUUAUUACAUGAGGAAAACCAAUAAUUGGAUCUCUAAAAUAGUUCUAAUUUUGUAAUCCAUAGGACUUUAAAAGUCUUUUUGAUUUCAUUUUCUGCAUUUCCUUGUCACGAUGUCAUAAUUUAAUAAACCAUAAAAUGGGUUGGACUAGUUCUAUUUUUUUCUUUAGUCUCUUUAAUUUUCUAACUUAUAAAAUGGACGAGGAAUAAGAAAUCCAUGUAUUAACAAGCCUUUCAUACAUUUUUUUGUCGUCUCUCAUUUAAUUUUAGCACUUAAAUUACGUUUCUUAUUUAAAAAAAGUUAAAAAAUAUGAUACUGAUUUUGGCAACUCAAUCUGAUUUUAUGCUACAGAAAAUUUAAACUUUGAUUGCCACCAUUGGAGCAACGUGUCUUUUACUUUGCAUCAUUAUUGCUAAAAAUCAAAACUGGCUUCAUUAAAUUCUCUUAGAGUUUGAUUUUCAUUAUUUUCAGUUGAGUGUUUCACAUCCAAAUACAUACAUACAUACAUAUAUAUAUAUAUAUAUAUAUAUAUAUAUGGGGUUUGUUAACACGCGUACGCCUGUUUUUCAGUUGGUACGUUUUAACAAUGUGUACCGGAUUAUAGUAGACAAAAUUACCCUCAUUUAUCAUGAAUUCAAGUUUUAAGGUCAAGGAUAUUUAAAUAAUUUUCAUUCUCAAAACUAAAAAAAAAAAGAAACCCCCAAACCCUUACUCACUUCCCUCAUUCCUCUCAACCCUUCCUCUCUCAUCUCUCUCACUCCAACAUUUUCUCUGUCAUAUCUCUCAUUCCAACAUUUUUUCUGUCAUCCCUACUUUUGCCCCAAUUGAAAAAAAAAAUCAGAAACCCUUUGUCAUCAGAGAUAUUUUCUCUCUCAUCUCAACAUUUUCUCUGUCAUCAUUCCAACAUUUUUUCUCUUAUCUCAACCCAAUUGAAGAUGGUGGUAACAAUUUGAAUUAGAGAUAUUUUUUAAAAAUUGAAAAAGUUUACUCUUUUAUAUUCAUUUUAUAUUUAUUAAUGUGUGUAAAAUGAAUAUAAACUUUGUCAUUUUAUGUUACUCUUCCCAAAUCUCAAAGGUAAAAAAUGAUUUUACUGGUUUUUAUCUUGCACAGUGGUUAAAGUUUAUUCUAAACGCCUGUAGAAGUUGAUUCAGUGAUAAAAAAUGGAGAUAAGGGAAUUAAAGAAAUUGAUAUAGAAGAAUUCCCUAGGAGUACAAUUCUUUCAAUUCUAGGUUGUAAUCUUACAUCAUGUAUCCCAUACCAANNNNNNNNNNNNNNNNNNNNNNNNNNNNNNNNNNNNNNNNNNNNNNNNNNNNNNNNNNNNNNNNNNNNNNNNNNNNNNNNNNNNNNNNNNNNNNNNNNNNNNNNNNNNNNNNNNNNNNNNNNNNNGAAAAUUAUUUAAAUAUCCUUGACCUUAAAACUUGAAUCCAUGAUAAAUGAGGGUACUUUUGUCUACUAUAAUCCGGUACACAUUGUUAAAACGUACCAACUGAAAAACAGGCGUACGCGUGUUAACAAACCCCUAUAUAUAUAUAUAUAUAUAUAUAUAUAUAUAUGAAUUACCAAAAUGAUAUUUUAACAUCAUUUUUUGACACCAUUUUGACAUUGCACAUGUGUCAAAAUGUGAUUGGACGAUUUCAAAUUAAAAAAAUUGAGGUAAGGGUAUAUUUGGAAGAGAAAAACCAAAAUUUAUUUUUUUAAUUUGAAAUCGUUCAAUCACAUUUUGACACGUGUGCAAUGUCAAAAUGGUGUCAAAAAAUGGUGUUAAAAUAUCAUUUUCCUAUUAAUUAUAUUCUCCUCUUGAAGUCAAAUUAUGAUAUAUCAUACGAACACUAAUUUAUUUGCUUUUUUAAUCAAAUGGUAGAAAGGUCUUAAAAAUUUCUUCUUCAUUUACUUAAAUGGUUUCUGUCAACCUUCUCAAAUUUAUCUAUCAUCAAUAAUUGAAUAAUUCACAAUUUACUCGUUUUUAAAGUCUUAAUUUGAAAAAUAAGUCUUAAUUUGAAAAAAAAUCUUAAUUUACAUAUUUUCAUAAGUUGAUUGUUCUUAAUUAUAUGCAUAUGUACCUACAAAAUUUCAAUAUCUUCAUUAUAUCGUAUUUACGAAAUUUGAUUCAAUGGUAUAGUAUAAAAUGAAUUAGGUUAAAUCAUGUAAUUUGUUUCUAUUUUUUUAAGAGAGGUAUCAAAUUGGUCCUUUUCUUGGUUUAAUCAUUUACAACAUCCCUAUUUUUGAGAGUUUUCUCAAUUAGGUCCUCGUUUGGUAAAAAUACUCAAUUAAGUCUCUGAAUGUAAAAUAUUGUAUCAAUUAAGGGUUUGUCGUUAAUUUCGAUGGACGGCGUUAAAAUUCGAUGGACGGCGUUAAAAUUGAAUGUGCGUGACAAGGUGAUGUUACUAAAGUGGCAAUGUAUGGUCAACUAAGUUGCAUUUUUUUAUUUACAAAUUAAAUUUUAUUGAAAUAAAAUUAUUCAAAACCCAACGUUUAAAUAAAAAAAAAUUAACAAAUGAAAACGUUGUGCUUUAAUUGAGUGAAGACUGAUUAGAAGAAAGGGAACCCAGAACACAAAUGGCAUGGUCGCACCCAUCAGCACCACUCGCACAACCAUCAUCAACCACCGCGGGAACCCAAAACAGUCAUCCUCAACCACCACAGGAACCCAGAAUAGGGAGAAACCCUCAACGCAAAAAAAAACAAAACAAUGUAGAAAGGAAGAACCCAAAAAGAAACAUCAAGAGCACAAGAAAUUCCCAUAACUCAAACUCAGAUUCCAAUUUGAAAUCCCUAAAAUCCUAGAACAAACAAAACCCUAAAUCGCAGGAACCAAAACCCCAAAUUCACAAUUUUAGAAACCCUGACCCCAAUGUUGCAAAAUAAGAACUCCAAUUCGCGUUCCAAUCUAUAAAAAAUAAAGCAAAAGCAACCCCUAGAUCGCGAGCCCAAACACGUUCUCCCUUCGCCGAUAAGAUGCUGGAGGGUGAGAUCCUCGCGUCGCGAAACGUCGUGCUGGAGCCCCUUGAAACUCGUCUCUCCUUCCCUGUGAGAAAACCCCAAACAGAACCAAGGAAGGGGAAAUGAGAAAGAAAGGAAUGAACAACACGCCAUUACGAUCUACUCGGAGAAUACGAAGACGUUGUCGAGUCGCACUCUUUCCAUACUGUCAUCGUCACCGCCAUUUGUCCCAGCACGAAACGCAUAAGCCCUCUUCUCUUUGCAAGACAAACCAGAGUAGAGGAGAGAAAGGAAAACAUUACCUUCCUCUUUGUAAGACGAACAGAACACAAUGAAAUAAAAACAUUGCGUUUUAAUUUCAUUCAAGUUUUUUAAAUAUGUAAAUAAAAGAAAGCCAGUUCAGUGUCCAAUGUGUACCACGUCAAUAAAACUUGGUAAUCUCAUUCUGUCAGGUAUAACAUUUUUUAAUGUCGUCCACCCAAAUUAAUGGCAAGCCCUAAAUUGAUCCAAUUUUUCACAUCCAGAGACCUAAUUGAGAUAUUUUACAAUACAAUGACCUAAUUAAGAAAACCCUACAUAAAUAGAGAUGUUCUAAAUGAUUAAAUUUUUUUAUAUAUGUUUCAAUUUGUUUCUUAUUUUAAAAAAUUUGAUACAAUAAAAUCUUUUAUAUUAGUAUUGUACAAACAACAUUAACGAGGUACCAUGUUUCAGUUCAUAGUUUUUUCACUUUUUUUAAUUUUUUUAAAAAAAUAAAAAAAAUUACAUCGUGCAAUAUGGUUGUGAUAGUGUUACAUGUAACUUUCACACUAUAUAUCAUUGUUUUGGUCUCAUUUUACUCUCUGUAUUUUUAUUUUGUCUAAAUUUAAUUCCAAUAUUUUUAAAAUCAAUCAAUUUUGUCCCUCUUUAAAUUAAAAACAAAUUUAAUUUUUAUACAAAUGUUAUACGAAUAUUUUUAUUAAAAUUGAUAUUUUUAUUAAACAUUUUUAACAAGAUUAAGUUUAUUUAUAUUUAUAUUUUAUUUUGAAUUUUAUUAAUUUUUUUUUAAAUUUUAAAUUUGUUUGUUUUAAAUUAAUAUAAAAUUGUUUAAAAUUAUUUUAAAAUUUUACAUUUGUAUUAAUAAAAUUUUUUUCAAAGGGUUUAUUCUCUUGAUGAAACUUUUUUAACUAGAAAAUUUUAAGUUUUUUCUAAACCAUAUGGAAUUGUGUGAGUUUUUUCUCCGUAUAUUUAUUUAUUUUUAUUUUUUAAUAUUAUUGUCCCUUUCAAAAGUUAUUUCUUAGUUUAUAUUAGAUAUAUAUUUUAAAGUUAUUAUUCUUUCCUACAUGUCAUACAACUUAGAUUAUUCCAGCACAUAAGAUAAAAACUUGAAAUGUGAUGGGUUGGCUAACAAUGAUAUUAGAGUGAGUGACUGUUAAGUGAAUGGUUAAGACUUUGUCAAACAAUGAGUUUGGUUUUUAAAGUCAAGACAGAGAUAAUACAUUUAAAAUGAACUUGACUAUUUAUAAUCUUUAAAAUAGAUUAUAAUAUUAAUUUUAAAAAAAUAAUUCUUUGGUUGUCAAUUAGUAAAAAUGAAGUUAAAUAAAAUAAUAGCAUUAAAAGUGAUUUAAAGAGUCAGUAAAUUCUAAAAAUUAUUAUGAUAAAUAAAGUUAACAAUAGUUUUAAUUACAUUAUUUUCGUUUAUUUCUUUCAUACAUUUUCGUAUAAUAGGUUAUUACAUGAAGAAAAUCAAUAAUUCGAUCUCUAAAAUUUUGUUUUUGUGAUUUAUGUGGUGGUGUUCUAAUUUUGUAAUUCAUAUAGUGGAUAGGACUUUAAAAGUCUUUUUAUUUCAUUUUCUGCAUUUCCUUGUCAUAAUUUGAUAAACCAUGAAAUGGACGCGGAAUAAGAAAUCCAUGUAUUUAAACAAGCCUUUCAUUUUUUUGGGCGUCUCUCUAAUUGAAUUUUAGCACCUAAAUUGCGUUGCUUAUUGUGUAUUAAAUUAAUAGAUUUAAAAAAAAAUACAAAAUAUAUGUUACUGUUUUUGACAACUCAAUCUGAUUUUAUACUACAAAAUCUGGAAUUGGACUUUUUUAUGUUUUCAGAUAGAUUUUUUAUUCCAUUCCUAAAAAAACAUUCAAACCAUUUCUUAGAUUGUCAUCUGUCAAAAUACGAAUGUUUUAAAUUCCGGAAAAAAAAAACAUAAAACAAUAGAGAAAAAAAAAACAUAAAUAAAAUGAUUUAAGGAGUUAGUUAAUUGUAAACAUUAUUUUUUGGUUAAAUAAAGAUUAACUAUUUAUUUAAAUAUAUGAUUCUCAUUUAUUUCUUUCAUACAUUCUCAUAUAUUGGAUUAGAUCAUGAAAAUCAAAACUCGCGAAAUAGUUUUGUUUUUAUUUCAUACAUUCUCAAAUCGACAAUCUAUUUAAUUUUAAGCCAAUUCCUUUCACUGCAACAAUCACUUCCUUAUAACUCACCUCAGCCUUUCUAAUGCUGGAUUCAUAGGAAACAUACCUCCUCAAAGUAAAAAAAAAAAUAAUAAUAAUAAUCAUUGGAAAUUAUUUAAAGAAUUAGUUAAUUGUAAACAAAUUGGUUAAAUAAAUUUUAACUAUUUACUUAAAUACAUUAUGCUUAUUUAUUUGUAUCAUACAUUUGAUUAUUUCAUACAAUGGAGUACGUUAGGCAUGUCAAUAGAAAUAGUUAUGUUUUUAUUAUUUUUGUGUAAUGUAGUUUUCUAACCCACAUUAUGGGUUCAAAGAUCGAUUAUUCAAAGUCUUUUGAUUUAUUGAUUUUUCAUCUAUAAAUAUUUUAUAACCCAUAAAACGGGCAUGACUAGAAAGAUAAGCAAUAUAAAGUCUUUGGAGUAGUUUCAUUUUUCUAACCCAUAAAAUGGAUUAGGUGAUAGAAGUACAUGAAAAUUAAUUCACUCAUCUUAUUAUUAAAAAAAGACAACAUAUAUGAUGAUUUUUUACAACUAGUUUAUAGUUUUUUCUUUAAAGAAAAACGUGGGUGACCAUGUUUUCAGAUUUUAAUAAUUUAUAGUGUUUUUUAGACGCUAUUAGAAGUACAGAUUCUUAAAAUCUAAUCUUCUCACUUUUAUAUUUAUUUAUAUUUCGUUUCAACAUUUAUUAAGUAUUAAAAAACCCUUAAAAUAUAUAUUGUGAAUAAAAAGAUGUUCAAAGUUUAACUUAUAUUUAUCAAAUACUAAUAAUUUAAUUAGUUAUAUCAACAAGUUUUUAGAUAUAAGUUAGUUUUUAUGAAUUAAUUAUGAUCGAUAUAUUUCAUAUAAUACAUAAGUCCUUCAAGUCGAAGGAAGUUCUUUAUUGAAAGAAGUGCUUAGAGAUUAUUACUAUGAGCUUUAAAAGAGGUCGUUCACGUUGUAUUUAGGGAGUCUAUUUUCGAUACGCUUUAAGUCUUCAUUCCUUUUUGUACCAAGCGACUCUAAGAGUUCUCUUUGAAAUUGUUCCCUAGACUAAGCAGAAAAUACUAGGAGUUCUCUUUGGAACUUUUUCCUGUGCAAGAAAAUUUCACUCCAAAAACAUGCGUUUAAAUAAAAUAAAGUAAAUACUUCAAUAAUUUAUAAUUUAUUUUUAUAAUAAAAUGGCAUUGGAACUUGACAAAGUUGAACGUAGGUGGUCAGAGUAAGAAGGGAUUGAACCUGUUGGAUAGUCUACUGAUAGGAAUUCUUUUUCGAAUUUUCUGCAUUGUGCGGAGAAUUCUGAAGUCCUUUUUCGGACUUCCCACCGAGCGGCUUGAGGCAGGAGUUAUUUUUCUAAUUUCCUACGUUGAGCGGGGAUUUUUGAAGCCUUUUAUCAGACAUCCCCGAACGGCUUGAGGCAGGAGUUAUUUUUCUAACUUCCUACAUUGAGCGAGGAUUUUUUAAGCCCUUUUUUGGACUUCCCUCGAAUGGCUUAAGGCAGCAGUUCUUUUUCUAACUUCCUACGUUGAGCAGAGAUUUCUGGAGCCCUUUUUCAGACUUCCCCUGAGCGGCUUGAGGUAAGAGUUAUUUUUCUAACAUCCUUCGUUGAACAACAAGUUGUAGAGGAUUGAAUCUUUAUGUGCAAAAUAUUUUCUCACAAAAAGCAUGCGUUAAAGCAAAAAAUUUUAUAAUCUAUUUUUAUAAUGAGAUGACAUUAGAACGUGACAAGGUCGAACGUUGGUCUGAACCUUUGCCUGUGCAAAAUAUUUUUACUCACAAAAAUGAGUUAAAUAAAAUAUUCAACAUUUUAUUUUACAAUGAGAUUGCAUUAGAACCUAAUAAGGUUGAACGUUCCUCUGAACCUUUUCCUGUGCAGGAUAUUUUUACUCAUACAAAUAUGAGUUAAAUACAAAAUAUGAGUUAAAUAAAAUAUUCAACAUUUUAUUUUUACAAUAGGAUGACAUUAAAACCUGAUAAGGUUGAACAUCGGUCUGAACCUUCCUGUGCAUAUGAUAUUUUUACUCAUAAAAAUAUGAGUUAAAUAAAAUAUUCAAUAUUUUAUUUUAUAAUGAGAUUACAUUAAAACCUAAUAAGGUUGAACGUUCGUCUGAAUCUUCUCCUGUGCACAAUAUUUUUAUUCACAAAAAUAUGUUUUAAAUAAAAUAUUCAACAUUUUAUUUUUACAACGAGAUGACACUAGAAUAUGAUAAGGUUGAACGUCGGUUUGAACCUUCCUGCACGUGAUAUUUUUACUCACAAAAAUGAUUUAAAUAAAAUAUUCAAUAUUUUAUUUUUAUAAUGAGGAGUCAUUAGAAUCUCACAAGGCUAAACGUUAGACUCUUGCACAUGAUAUUUUUAGUCACAAAAAUAUGCGUUAAAUAAAAUAUUCAACAUUUUAUUUUUAAAAUGAGAUGACAUUAGAACGUGAUAAGGUUGAACGUUGGUCUAAACCUUCCUGCACAUGAUAUUUUUACUCACAAAAAUAUGAGUUAAGUAAAAUAUUCAAUAUUUUAUUUUAUAAUGAGAUGACAUUAGAACCUGAUAAGGUUAAACAUUCGUUCAAACUUUUUCCUAUACAAGAUAUUUUUACUCACAAAAAUAUGUGUUAAAUAAAAUAUUCAACAUUUUAUUUUUACAAUGAGAUAGCAUUAAAACCUGAUAAGGUUUAACAUAGGUCUGAACCUUCCUGCACAUGAUAUUUUUACUCACAAAAAUAUGAGUUACAUAAAAUAUUCAAUAUUUUAUUUUAUAAUAGGAUGACAUUAGAACCUGAUAAGGGGUUGAAUGUUCGUCUGAACCUUUUCCUGUGCAGGAUAUUUUUACUCACAAAAAGAUGACUUAAAUAAAAUUUUCAACAUUUUAUUUUACAAUGAGAUGACAUUAGAACUUGAUAAAGUUGAACGUUGGUUUGAACCUUCUUACACAAGAUAUUUUUACUCACAAAAAUAUGAGUUAAAUAAAAUAUUUAUUUUAUAAUGAGAUAACACUAUUUGUAUAAACCUUCCUGCACAUGAUAUUUUUAGUUAUAAAAAUAUGAGUUAAAGAAAAUAUUUAUUUUUAUAAAAAAAUAUUCGACAUUUUAUUUUUACAAUGAGAUGGCAUUAAAACCUGACGGUAGACUAAAACUUCCUGUGGAGGAUAUUUUUACUCACAAAAAUAUAUAAGUUAAACAAAAUAAAAUAAAUGCUUCAACAUAUUAUAAUUUAUAAAUUAUAAUAAAAAGUGAAACCUGACAAGGUUGAACAUUAAACUAAACCUUCCUGUGGAAAAUAUUUUUACUCACAAAAAUAUGAGUUAACAAUAUAAAAAUUAUAAUUUAUAAGUUAUAAUAAAAAGUAUUAGAACCUCACAAGGUUGAACCUUAGACUGAACCUUCCUGUGUGGAACAUAUUUUUAUUCACAAAAAUGAGUUAACACUAGUGGAAAAAUGAUUUUCUAUAACGACUUAUAUUAUAACGUACAAAAAUUCUCUGUUAUAAUAGAUAUAUAUUAUAACGUAGUUUUGUAAAUCAGUUAUAAUAUCAAACGCGGUGGCAAACUUGUAAAUAAGUUUAAGACAUAUUAUAACGUAGUUUUGAAAAUCAGUUAUAAUAUGAAAUGCGGUGGCAAACUUGUAAAUAAGUAGAAAAUCUAUUAUUAAUGUAUUAUAACGAAAUUUUAGAAAUCCGUUAUAAUAUCUCUUCCUCUCCGAUUCUCACAUUCCUCAUCUGAGAGAGCACUUUCAUUUCUCAAUUAGAGAGCCUCACUCUCAUUUCUCUCCAUUUCGGCGCGUCGUUCUUCUCCAGAUAUCUCCUCGCCGCACACCGUUCAUCAUCACGGUAAGCCUUCUUCACGGAAUAAUCUCAUUUCUUCUAUCCUUCAUUUUCCACCGAAUCAUUCAUAGAUCUAAACCCUCCGUUGGGGUUUCUUCUCAUUUUCACCAUUUUCCUUCGAUUCCACCGAUUAAAACCUUGUUUUCACCGUUUGAAACCUUUUCCACCGAUUCAACUUUAAUUUACACCGAUCAAUCGGUCUAGAAUAGGUUUCCUUCUUCUUUUAGGGUUUCUAUAAGGUUUAAUCCUCUGUUUCUUAUUCUUUUUCGAGUUUUUGUCAUCCCACUGCGAAAACCCUAACUACCUCUGAGAUUGAGUGAACUGGGAAGGGAAGCAAGAGCGAAUGAGGCAGAAACAGCGAGGAAGUUCUGAUGUCGACAACGAAGUGAAGAAAUGACGACGUGUCGGUUUCUCAGUAAUAGGUGAGUUUCACUUAUUUUUUAGUGCUUGUUGUGUUGAAUUAUUCAUUUCACGGGGGGGGGGGGGGGGGGGUGACGUAUAUGAAUAUUUUGGUCGGGUUUUCAUCUUUAGUUUUUGUGAUAAUGAUUGUUCUCUGAUGCUGUAUAUUCGUCUAUUGAAGUGAUUCUGCUCGUUGCAAAUCUACUGCUGCUGUUUGCCCUCUAAUUAGUUUGUUUGCUCGUGUACGAUACCAGAUGAAUCUGAUUCUAUCGUGUUGGUGGCAGCUUGGAGGAAGAGGCACAUGGAAUUGCCCUCUGAUGCGUCCUGUUGUUUAACUUGGAUGAUGUUGCAGAUGAACUCUCAGAAAGCAGAAGCAGAUGUUGCCCCAUAGCAAACAGUUCAGGUAAAACCUUCACCUUCUUAUUUCUUAAUGUCUUAUACUCACUAGUACAGGCAGGGGAAACGACAGCGAUUGUUUCCGCCCUUUGGCAGCGGUUCCCGAACCGCGGCAUAGUAAGCCGCGGUAAAAAGUCUGGGACUUUAUGCCGCGGUUGUAACCGCGGUAAAAAGUCAGGAAUAGACCGCGGUUCGUACCACAACCGCGGCCUAAACCUUAUUUUUUAAUAAAAAAAAAGUCUAGCCACAACCGUACUUUGAUGUUUUCUCCUAGUGCAGCCACAGUUUGCUUCACCAAGUCUUUCACUAAAACACUGUCAUCCUUGAUAAAAGGCUACCCUAAAAGUGCAAGCUCCCCAGAGCCUUUUAGAGACCCUUCCCUCAACAAUUUUUUCUCUGAUGUUCUCUGGUUUUGAAAGAAGGUCCUCUCUCUGUCUUUCAAGUUCCUUUUCUUCAAUGGAUACAAACUGCACCUGUGGGCUGGCCACCACUUGCAUUGCAAGAUCACCAACCAAUUCCUUGAAUUUCUCACCUCUACCUACAAAAUCAGUUUCGCAGUUCACCUCAAUUAGAACGCCAAUGCGUGAAUCGUGAAUGUAUGAACCAAUUCUGCCUUCUGCUGCUAGCCGGCUUGAUUUCUUGUCGGCAGAGGAAAGACCCUUUUUUCUCAGGUAUUCUUGGGCCUUUUCAAGAUCCCCUCCAGUUUCAACUAGAGCUUUCUUGCAGUCCAUCAUCCCUGCUCCAGUUUAUUUCUUAGUUUCAAUUUAUAUAUAUAUAUAUAUAUAUAUAUAUAUAUAUAUAUAUAUAUAUUAAAAUUAUUAUUCUUUCCUACAUGUCAUACAACUUAGAUUAUUCCAGCACAUAAGAUAAAAACUUGAAAUGUGAUGGGUUGGCUAACAAUGAUAUUAGAGUGAGUGACUGUUAAGUGAAUGGUUAAGACUUUGUCAAACAAUGAGUUUGGUUUUUAAAGUCAAGACAGAGAUAAUACAUUUAAAAUGAACUUGACUAUUUAUACUCUUUAAAAUAGAUUAUAAUAUUAAUUUUAAAAAAUUAAUCUUUGGUUGUCAAUUAGUAAAAAUGAAGUUAAAUAAAAUAAUAACAUUAAAAGUGAUUUAAAGAGUCAGUAAAUUCUAAAAAUUAUUAUGAUAAACAAAGUUAACAAUUUGUUUAAUUACAUUAUUUUCGUUUAUUUCUUUCAUACAUUUUCGUAUAAUAGGCUAUUACAUGAAGAAAAUCAAUAAUUCGAUCUCUAAAAUUUUGUUUUUAUGAUUUAUGUGUGGUGUUCUAAUUUUGUAAUUCAUAUAGUGGAUAGGACUUUAAAAGUCUUUUUAUUUCAUUUUCUGCAUUUCCUUGUCAUAAUAGUUAUGUUUUCAUUAUCUUUCUAGUUUAUGUCCAUUUUCUAACCCAUAAAAUGGGCAUAACAAAAAAAAUAAGUAAUAUAAAGUCUUUAGAGUAGUUUCAUUUUUCUAACCUAUAAAAUGGAUUAGGUGAUAGAAGUACAUGAAAAUUAAUUCACUCAUCUUAUUAUUAAAAAAAGACAACAUAUAUGAUGAUUUUUUACAACUACUUUAUAGUUUUUUCUUUAAAGAAAAACGUGGGUAACCAUGUUCUCAGAUUUUAAUAAUUUAUAGUGUUUUUUAGACGCUAUUAGAAGUACAGAUUCUUAAAAUCUAAUCUUCUCACUUUUAUAUUUAUUUAUAUUUUCUCGUUUCAACAUUUAUUAAGUUUUAAAAAACCCUUAAAAUAUAUUUUGUCAAUAAAAAGUUGUUCAAAGUUAACUUAUAUUUAUCAAAUACUAGUAAUUUAAUUAGUUAUAUCAAAGAGUUUAAGAUGUAAGUUGGGUUUUAUGAAUUAAUUUUUCAAAAUUAAAAAAUAGUGAGAAUGAUAAAAUAAGAAGUGUCAUCUUGAGCAAUUGAUAAAGAAGGGAAACGUGUUGAAGAUGUUGAGUAAUUGAUAUUAUAUUUGACUUCACACUGAAUUAAAAGUAGAUAAUCAAGGAAAUUAUCAAGAAAAAAAUAAUACUAUUUGAUAAGAAAAAAGGUAGAAGAAGAAUGUUAAUAUGUUAUUGUUGUCUGCUGUAGGUAUUAUUAGAAAAUUCAACUGCAGGUAAACCAAAUGCAGAAAGAAAGGACAGACUUUUGAACUGAACUCUUUCUGUUUAACAGCAGGUAGAAUUUAAAGUCUAUCAUGCUUUUUUAUUGGGUCCCUCCCUAAUUAAGUGUUAGCACCUAAAAUCACGUUCCUCCUAGUCAAUUAAGUUGUUAAAUUUAAACAAAAAACAAAUAUGAUAGUGAGUUUGAUUUUAUGAAUUUAGUAUAGAAAAUGAAAAUAGUUAGAAGAUAGAUAGCGUAAACAUAAAAAGGCAUUGCAGCACUAUAUAUAUGUUAUUUCCCAUGCAUAACCCGUAACCACAUAUUUUUAACACUUGUUAAAAUGAAUUCCUUCCUUUUGAUUAUCGUCUUUCUUCAUCUUUGUUGGGUUUUUUUAUGUCUGAGUGCAGAGACAGUGUGCAUUGGAAGUGAGAGAGAGACACUGUUGAAGUUGAAGCAUCAUCUCAUUGAUCCUUCAAAUAGACUUUCUUCUUGGAAUGCUUCUCUCAAUCCCAAUUGUUGCCAUUGGUAUGGAGUUGUCUGCAACAACAUCACAUCUCAUGUUGCAGAGCUUCACCUCAACACUCCACCUCCUCUUUACGAUGAGAUAAUAGAAGCAUACGAAGAGGAUAAUAGAAGGGCAUUCAGUGGAGAGAUAAAUCCUUGUUUGGUUAAUUUGAAGCAUUUGAAUUACUUGGAUUUCAGCUGCAAUAAUUUUAAAGGUAUACCAAUUCCUUCCUUCAUUACAACAAUGACUUCCUUAACUCACCUCAAUCUUUCUCAUGCUGGAUUCAUGGGGAACAUUCCUCCUCAGAUUGGAAAUCUCUCCAAUUUGCUCUAUCUUGAUUUAAGUUAUGCUGCCAACGGAACAAUUCCUUCCCAGAUAGGGAAUCUCACCAACUUGCUCCACCUCCAACUCACAGGAUAUUAUUAUCUAUUUUAUGAAAAUGUUGAUUGGCUGUCAAGUCUUUCCAAGCUUUCUUAUCUUCACUUGAGCCACACUCGGUUACUCGUAGGAGGUAUGCCAAUUCCUUCUUUUCUUGGCUCAAUGACCAACUUAAUUCACUUGGACCUCUCUUUUUCUGGAUUUAUGGGCAACAUUCCUCCCCAGAUUGGUAAUCUUUCCAAUUUGGCGUAUCUAGACUUAACUAAUGCUGCCAAUGGAACUAUUCCCUCUCAAAUUGGAAAUCUCUCCCACUUGCUUCACCUUCGUCUUCCAGGUGAUUAUUUUGUUGGAAAUGAUGAUUGGUUGUCAAGUCUUUCAAAACUUGAAUAUCUUGAUUUGGGAGGUACAAAUCUAUCCCACUAUCGACUUAAGUAAUUUUACCUUAUAUUUUUUUGAAAAUAAAAGAAAAGAGUGAAAGAAGGAUAUGUGUUGAAAAUAUGUUUAAGUUGCUAUUCUUCAGUCCUGAAAAUAUUCUUAGAAUAUUUCACCAUAAAGAAACAAAAUGAGAAAGACUUUUGAGGUAAAUAUUUUGUGUUGACGUAGAAUUUAAAAAACUUUUCACACUUCUUUUUGGGUCUCUCUAAAAUUUUAGCAUCUAAAAUCACGUUACUCCUCGUCUAUUUUCUAACCCAUAUAAUGGGGGCAGAACUUUAAAAUUCAAGCAUAGGUUGAUGAAUUAUUUUAAACUUUAUUCAUUUUUUUUGUGUAAAGAAUUCUAAAUUUAACUUCACAAUCUUAAAAAUAGACAAUGAAGGAAUUUAUCUGAGUUGACUGAAACGUAUUUGAAAAUAAAAUAAAAAGUGUGGAAGAAGAAUGCUAGUCUCUGUAGGUUGUUAUUGUUUACCUCCAAAGACAGAAAAAAAAAAGGAAAAAAUUCAUCUUUGCGUGGACGUAGAAUUUAGAAAAUUCUUUCACACUUCGUUUUAGGUCUCUUAAGUGAUUUUUAGCACCUAAAGUCACGUUGCUGAUUUUGACAUGUAAAUUCAAUUUUAUAAAUUUAGCAUAUAAAAAUUAAAUUGUUGGAUAGAUAGCGUAAUAUAAAAUUUCAGGGGAGAACAAAAAAAACUUGACCCUUUUCUAUAUAUGUUUCUUCUUCUUUUUUUUAAAGGAAAAUAUUACUACAGGUAUGUUCUUCUCAUAUUUGAUUUUGAUUAUCUUACCAACUUAUGAUAAUGAUUAUGCUGAGAUUUAUAAUUUUCAUUAUAUUGGAUAAUUUUGUUCGUGUACAAAAUAUAAAUUAAUCUGGCGUUUCUAUAUUAUGCCUACGAGAUUUUCUUUAUCACAUGUAUAAUAAUUUGAUGCUUUGAAACCUUUUCAAGAAGAUAAACCGGUAUACAUAACAUCAUUUUAAAACACUCUACAUAAUAUAUUUCUAGCAUAAAUAAGAUAAAUAAUCAACGAAACAUGAGAAAAAAACACAAAGUCAUGAAAGAAAUUUAUAUUAUAUAUGAAAAAAUAUAUUAAAUUUAAAUACAUUAUAUCCAACCUCAAUUAAUAAGAUAGUUACACUAGUGCAAAAACGCUGUUUAACGUCACUCAAAAGACGUCGGUUCGAGAGAAGCCCGACGUAUAUGUGCGGACAAUGGCAUUACCGUAAAUAAGUUGGUAACCUAGACGUCGGUUUCGAGGGAAGGCGACGCCUAUGAGAUUGUAGACGUCCGCUCUGCCUUACACCGACGUCUAAUGGCUUGAGGUAGGAGAGAAGACAGUUUAUUGACGUUGGUUUUAAUGGGGGGCCGACGUCUACGGGGCUGCAAUUAAUGUUCAUCACCUGAUUCCAGAUGCUUAGACGUCAUGUAGUCAAAAAGCGACGUCUAUGGCCUGUCUGAAAGAGGGAAAGACAAAAAUUUCUGCAAUUUAGACGUCGAUGUUUAAGGGGAGAGACGUCUAUGUGCCUGUAAUUAAUUAUGUUCACCAAACUCGGACGUCCGGCAGAAGGGCACCAACGUCUAAAUUAUUAUAGACGUCGGCGCCCCUUCACAACUUUCAUCAACAUCCUUGACAAUAAAUGAAACGUCAAUCGGUUCAGCUUCCUAAACUUCAGCUCCCCUUUAAACUGACGUCUACUGGGCAUUCAAAAAGACAAAUUAAAUAUUAUCUUGGACGUCAAAUUAGUUAGAUAACCAACGUCUAGAUGACUAUAGACGUCGGUUUCUAGAGCAACCGAUGUUCCAUUUCAUUUUAAAUAAACCGUAGACUCUUUGCGGCAUUGCGAUUUCUGAUAUCGUCUCCCUCUUCUCCUUUUUCUCUUGCGGCACCUCUUCUUUUUCUCUCUUGCGGCAUUACAUUAUUGUUUCUGAUAACAUCAUCAUCUUCCUCCUCUCUUUUUUCUCUCUUGCGGCAGAGCAUCCUAGGUGCGUGGUUUCUUAUGGUUAUCGUUUAACCUUUGUCGGUCUUUCAUCGAUUAUCUUCUGGUUCAACUGAUUAAAACUUGUUUUGUUUGUGUUGUGUUUUAGUGCAGUUUUGUUUUUUUCUUGGGUAACGUAGUACCACAUUCUUCCUUUGCUAGCUGCCUCCAAGAAAAAGCGGCGUCUUUUGGAUUUAUUGUGACAUUUCGACCCAAAAACGAACCUGGGACGUUGCCUAGUUUUGAAAAUGGAACUAAUCAACAACCAAGGUUCGGUGUUGGGUUGAAAUGCCAUUAGAAAUUCAAAAGACGCAUGCUUUUUUUUUAGGGAAACUAGCAAAAGGAGAGUGUGCUACUAGGCUAUCCAAAGACAGGAACAAAACUGCACUAAAACACAACAACUAUAUUAGACGUCGGUUAAUGCAUUAACCAACGUCUAUAGUGACCUUAGACGAUGGUUAGUGACAUGUUCGAAGUCUAUAUAGUGCUCUUAGACGUCGGUUAAUGCGUAGUCCGACAUCUAUAUACUGCCUUUAGACGUCAGUCAUGGCACUGACGGACGCCACUACAGACAUCUGUUGGGUGUCUGUCCGACGUCCCAUUGACGUCACCGGUAAUGACGUCGGUUGUUUAGUAGAUGUUAAAAGCCCAAAAUAACCGACGUUAAUGAGCGUUUUUCCACUAGUGUUAGAUACUCCUACAUGUGAGUGACACAGAAAUGGAACAAAAUAAUGAAUUAGAUGAAGAUGAAAGUGAUUUUUGAAAAAAAAAAAAAGAAAACUCUCUUUUUCGUUCAUAUUAUAGCGAAAAGAUGCAACAGAUAAAACCAUAAGUAAUUAAAAUUAAGUUAUUUUCAAUCAAAUGUUUGUAAACUAUUAAUUAGUUUAUUUAUCCUUCAUACUUCAACUAUUGUUCAUAAAAACAUCCAAAUAGACACACAAACUAUUAAAUAAAAAGUUUAAAUUUAUUACAAAAUUGACUAGUAAUCCUAUAUGAAUAUUUUUUUUUCUUUGUAAUUAAGAACGUCUUUCAGUGAGAAGGAAGUCAUUAUUUUGAUUUUAUGUAUCUAUUGGUUAAUUGUUUAGCCCAUAAGAUUAGUUUCAACAUGCCAAAAGAGCAAUAGCAAAGUCUUUCAAAUGGUUUAGUUUGUAGACAUUCCAAUUCCAGAUAAUUGGUGUGCUAAUUUCCUAACGCAUAUGGAGAAGGAAUUCCAAUCGCUGUCAAUGGAAUAGCAUUACAUCUGGUGGUGCUGAGCUUCACCUUAGCAUUCAAUUUCCUUCUUCCGAUGAGAGUGUAGGUNNNNNNNNNNNNNNNNNNNNNNNNNNNNNNNNNNNNNNNNNNNNNNNNNNNNNNNNNNNNNNNNNNNNNNNNNNNNNNNNNNNNNNNNNNNNNNNNNNNNNNNNNNNNNNNNNNNNNNNNNNNNNNNNNNNNNNNNNNNNNNNNNNNNNNNNNNNNNNNNNNNNNNNNNNNNNNNNNNNNNNNNNNNNNNNNNNNNNNNNNNNNNNNNNNNNNNNNNNNNNNNNNNNNNNNNNNNNNNNNNNNNNNNNNNNNNNNNNNNNNNNNNNNNNNNNNNNNNNNNNNNNNNNNNNNNNNNNNNNNNNNNNNNNNNNNNNNNNNNNNNNNNNNNNNNNNNNNNNNNNNNNNNNNNNNNNNNNNNNNNNNNNNNNNNNNNNNNNNNNNNNNNNNNNNNNNNNNNNNNNNNNNNNNNNNNNNNNNNNNNNNNNNNNNNNNNNNNNNNNNNNNNNNNNNNNNNNNNNNNNNNNNAUCUGGUGGUGCUGAGCUUCACCUUAGCAUUCAAUUUCCUUCUUCCGAUGAGAGUGUAGGUUAUCCAUUCAACAAAGAUGUUUUCCAAGAAGCAUCAAGAAGCUAAAUUUUCUAACAUGUAAAGUGACCUAUGAAUUAGAGUUCGUGUAAACUAAUCUUUAUCUUAUCAUAUAAUUUGAAAAUGAAUAAUGGAAUAUUUUUUACUUAACACAAGAUUUGGUAUUAGAAAGCUAAAAAAGUGGAAAGUAGAAAGGUAUUAAAAGAAUUAACUGUAAAAAUUAAUUUCAUUAAAUAUAAUUUCAAUCAUAUAUUUUAAAUGUAUGAUCAGAAUUUAUUUCUUUCACAUCUGACACUUGUUCAUGUUUCCGUAUAUUAUUGUGAAAUUGAAAUUGAAAUAUUUUAUCUCUUUACCCAACAAAUAAAUAUAAGAGGUCUUCUCCUUUCAAAUAUAAAAUUGUAUGAAAUGUUUUAGUAAAAAAAAAUUGAACAAUUAGAGUUUUAAAAGGGAAGAUUAUGUGGUAAGGAUGAGGGACAAAUCAUGUUUUUGAAAAAAAAUUCCACUCUUUCGGAAAGUUUUUUUUUUCGUGUGAAAUGUAAAAUAUGUGAAAAAUAAACAGAAGCUUUGAAAAGUAAAAAUCAUAGUAAACCAGAAAUUGUAUAUACACAUGCAUUUUACACAAAUAACUUCUUAAAACAAUUGAUAAUGAAAACAAAAUUUACAAAAAAGAAUAAAAAAAUAUCUUUAUAAGUUAGGGAUUUGUAUGAGUUGUAUAUUUAUUAUUCUUUCUACCGCUUAGAUUAUUGCACCUUUAUUAUCAAGCCAAUUCUUAAAUUUUAAGCAGUCUUUCUUCAUAUGUAUCCUUUCUUUUUAAAAAAGAAACAGCUGGACUCCUUCUUAAUAACUGUCUUAGCAGGAAUCUUUCCCUUCACAUUAACUUGGUUCUUCUUAUUCUCAAAAGAAGUAUUCAAUUUCACCCUCUCCCCUUCUUCUAUUAAUAGCCUUUCUUCUUCUUGAAAACACAUGGUCAAUAAUUCAUUAAUAGACCAUUUAUCUUUAUGUGUGUUGUAAGAGAUUUUGAAGGGGGCAUAAUGGUGAGGCAAAGUGCACAAAAUAUAGUGUACCAGGAAAGAAUUAGACAUGGUAACUUCCAAAGCUUUUAGUUGUGCAACAAUGUCCCUAAUGCGCAUGAUAUGAUCACGCACUCCCUUAAUUCCAGUGAGCUUUAAGGAUGAAAACUGCAUUAUAAGGGUGCUGGCAAAGGAUUUAUUGGAUGUCGGAAACUGCUCAUCAAGAGCCCUUAGUAAAUCUUUGACAUUCUCAUACUGGUCAACUGAACCCCGGAUACCAGCGAAAAUAUUGGUUUUUAUGAACGUAACGGAGAGACGAUUUGACCUCUCCCAUUUUUCAUAAAGAUCAAUGUCAUCUUGAGUGUUGGUCUCAUUAAUACUUGAUGGUUCUGGUUUUCUAAUAGCAUAGUCAAUGUCCAUCCAGCCUAAAUGAAGAAGAACUCUUUCCUUCCAAAUCUUAUAAUUAUCUCCUUUCAACUUGGGAAUACCACACUUGAUAUCAGAAAAAGUCACAGAUUGAGAAACUGCAAAUUCAAAAUUACAUGCUUAUUAUAUAUUUUGAGACUAAAAAUAAAUGUCAUGUUUUACCAAUGUAAACAUGUCUUUACCAAUGAGUUUAUUAACAUAAAACUUGCCUGUGGGCUAAAGUCUUACUCAAUUAAACUCAUUAUCUUAAUGAUAAAACUAUCAAAUUAUAUGUCAUGUUUCACCAAUGCAAAACAUGUCUUUACCAAUGAGUCUAUUAACAUAAAACGUACCUGUGGGCUAAAGUUUUACUCAAUUAGACUCAUUCUCUUAAUGAUGAAAUUAUCAAAUUAUAUUUCAUAUUUCACCAAUGCAAAACAUGUCUUUACCAAUGAGUCUAUUAACAUAAAACUUGCCUGUGGGCUAAAGUUUUACUUAAUUAGACUCAUUUUCUUAAUGAUAAAAUUAUCAAAUUAUAUGUCAUGUUUCACCAAUGCAAAACAUGUCUUUACCAAUGAGUCUAUUAACAUAAAACUUGUCUGUGGGCUAAAGUCUUACUCAAUUAGACUCAUUUUCUUAAUGAUAAAACUAUCAAAUUAUGUUCCUUUUCUUAAUUCCUAUGGGUAAAUUAAGAAAUAUAAUUUAAUAUUUUAUCCUAAUUAAUCAUAUAAAUAUGAAAAAAAAUUGUGGGUAGAUUUUAUCAUAUUAAAUAUAAUUAUUUACAACUAAUGUUUCUCAUGUAGCAAAACUCUAUAUACAAUUUUAAUUGAUUAAAGAUAUUGUGACUACUCUUUAAUCUAUUAACACUAUAUUACUACUAAAACAUUAAUAAUAUAUAAAUAUUUACAUAAAAUUCUUAAUAUGUAAAUAUAUUAAUAAUAAUGCAUAUUUAAUUUGCACAUAUAACAACAAAUAUAUCCAUACAAAUAAUACCCAAAAAAAUAUAUAUAAUUAUUAAUCAAAAAACAUUUAAACAUAUAUAUAUAUAUAUAUAUAUAUCACGUUCAAGGAUUAAUUACCUUUUACCAAGCCUACAAAUUUUCCUAGAGGGAAAGAUGAUGGGAGACACGAUGGUGUGUUUUCUAAAUAGAAGAGUAGGCUUAAGUGAUCAAAACUAAGAGUAACUCAUUCCUUAUACAUAGAGUCUAACCAUCACAAGUUCAAAAUAAUGGAUUGGACUUUACCUUUAAUCAAUAUAAUAACUUCUUCAUAACCUCUCUAUACUGUUAAAAACAGAUAAAAAUAUUGGCUUAAUGGAUUUAUGUUCCUUAAAAAUAGAAAUUUAAAAUGCUAUAAUAUUUAUUUUAUAAUUAAAAUAAUUCUAACAACUUCAUCUUCUAAGAUUUUCCAAAACUUUUUUAAUUUUAAAAUUUUAUAAUUUAUCCAAACAUUAAAAAUAACAAAAGUAUGAAACCCCUUCUCACUAACAGUAUUUUGAUAAAAAGAAAAUAUAUUUGUAUGCAAUAUUAUUAGGUAAUUUAUAUUUGAAUUCUUAAAUAUUUAUGUAUUAGGAGUAAAAAUAUUUAUAAAUUUUAUAUAUUUUUUGUAUUUAUGAGUAAAAAAAACAUUUAUAUGUAAUACAGUAUAUUAUAAUUUUUUUUUCAUAAUUUGAUAAACCAUAAAAUGGGUUGGACUAGUUCUAUUUUUUUUUCUUUUUAUGUAUUUAAAGAAGCUUUCAAACAUUUUUUGGUCGUCUCUCAUUUAAUUUUAGCUCCUAAAUUACGUUUCUUUUUUUUUUUAAAAAAAAAGAUACAAAAUAUGUUACUGAUUUUGACAACUCAAUCUGAUUUUAUAUUAUAGAAAAUUUAAACUUUGAUAUAGGUUCAUCUCUACUUCUGCCAUGUCACCAUCAUCAAUUGGAACAACUUCUCUUUUACUUUGAAUCAUUAUUGCUUAUCUAUCUCCACACUAAAAAUCAAAAUUGGUUUCAUUUCUCUUGGAGUUUGAUUUUCAUUAUUUUCAAUUGAGUGUUUCACAUCCAAAUACACAUAUAUUAAUUAUAUUCUCAUCUUGAAGUCAAAUUAUGAUAUAUCAUACGAACACUUCAACAAAUUUAUUUGCUUUAUAACUUCAUAAAAUAGUUCUAAGCUUAAUAAUUUGAUGGAUGAUUUAAUCUAAACUUUUUUUUUAUCAAAUGUUAGAAAGGUCUUAAAAAUUGCUUCUUCACUUACUUAAAUGCUUUUAGUCAACCUUAUAUCUUUCUCAAAUUUAUCUAUCAUCAAUAACUGAAAUUCACAAUUUACUCAUUUUUAAAGUCUUAAUUUGAAAAAUAAAUCUUUAUAUUUACAUAUUUUCAUAAGUUGAUUAUUCUUAAUUAUAUGCAUAUGUACCUACAAAAUUUCAAUAUCUUCAUUAUAUCAUAUUUACGAAAUUUGAUUCAAUGGUAUAGUAUAAAAUGAUUUAGGUUAAAUCAUAUCAUUUGUUUCAGUUUUUUUGGAGAGAUAUCAAAUUAGUCCUUUUUUUAUACAUCUCAGUUUGUUUCUUAUUUUAGAAAAUUUGAUGCAAUCAAGUCUUUUAAAUUAGUAUUGUACUAACAACGUUAAAGGGAUAUCAUGUGUUAGUUCAUAGAUUUUUUAAUUUUUCAAUUUAUUUUUUCAAUUUUUAAAUUUUCUUUUAAAGGUAAAAAAUUAUUUCAUGUCAAACUAAUGUCGGAUAACAUAACAAUAAUAAUUUCACGUGUAUAUGUAUCAUUGUUUUAGUCACAUGUUAGUCCCAGUAUCUUUAUUUUAUCUAAAUUUAAUUCCAUUUUUUUUUUUAAAAAUCAAUCAAUUUUUCAUUUCUCUUUAAAUUAAAAUCAAAUUUAAUUUUUAUAUAAAUGUUAUAUAAAUAUUUUUAUUAAAUUUGAUAUUUUUAUUAAAUUUUUUUAACAAUAUUAAGUUUAUUUAUAUUUAUUUUAUUUUGAAUUUUAUUUAAAAUUGUUUUUAAAUUUUAAAUUUGUUUGUUUUAAAUUUUUAUAAAACUAUUUUCAAAUUUUACAUUUAUAUUUAUAAAAUUGUUUUCAAAGGACUUGUUCUCUUGAUCAAACUUUUUUUAACAAGAAAUGUUAAGUUUUUUCUAAACCAUAUGGAAUUGUGUCAGUUUUUUCUCUAUAUAUUAUAUAUUUUUAUCUUUUUAAAUUAUUGUCCCUUUCAAAAAUUAUUUCUUAGUUUCAAAUUGAUGUAUAUUUUAAAGUUAUUAUUCUUUCCUACACGUUAUACAGCUUAGAUUAUUCCAACACAUAAGAUAAAAAACUUGAAUGUGAGGGGUUGGCCUAACAAUGAUAUUUGAGUGAGUGACUGUUAAGUGAAUGGUUAAGACUCUGUCAAACAAUGAGUUCGGUUUUUAAAGUCAAGACAGAGAUAAUACAUUUAAUGUGAACUUGACUAUUUAUACUCUUUAAAUUAGAUUAUAAUAUUAAUUUUCUUAUAAAAUAAUUCUUGGUUGUCAGAAAAAGGAAGUUAAAUAAAAUAAUUAAAAGUGAUUUAAGGAGUCAGUAAAUUCAAAAAAUUAUUUUGAUAAAUAAAGUUAACAAUUUGUUUAAAUAGAUUAUUGUCGUUUAUUACAUGAGGAAAAUCAAUAACUCGAUCUCUAAAAUAGUUUUGUUUAUGAUUGAUGUGUGGUGUUCUAAUUUUGUAAUCCAUAUAUGACUUUAAAAGUCUUUUUGAUUUCAUUUUCUGCAUUUCCUUGUCAUAAUUUGAUAAACCAUGAAAUGGGUUGGACUAGUUCUAUUUUUUUUUCUUUUUAUGUUAUUAAUCUCCUUAAUUUUCUAACUUAUAAAAUGGACAAGCCUUCCAUACAUUUUUUGGUCGUCUCUCUAAUUAAAUUUUAGCACCUAAAUUACGUUUCCUCUUCUCUAUUAAAUUGGUAGACUUAAAAAAAAUACAAAAUAUUUUACUGUUUUUGACAACUCAAUUUGAUUUUAUACUACAGAAAAUUUAAAUUAUUUACUAAUAUUGCUGGAUCUGAAACCGGGCUUUUUUGUGUUUUCAGAUAGAUUUUUUAUUCUAGUUAUAAAAAACAUUCAAGUCACUACAUAAAUUUUGUCACUUUGUCACUUUUCAAAAUAUGGAUACUCUAAAUUCCUAUUAAAAUAUUAAACAAUAACAGAAAAAAAAAAAAAAAAAAAAACUUGUUAGAUAUAAAGCGUAAACAUAAAAAGGCAUUACAGCAGUAUAUAUAGGUUAUUUCCUAUGCAUAACCCGUAAGCACUUUUUUUUAUAAUGAAACAAAAAGCACUUGUUAAAAUGAAUUCCUUCCUUCUGAUUAUCGUCUUUGUUCAUCUUUGUUGGGUUUCUCUAAGUGUGAGCGUAGAGACAAUGUGCAUUGGAAGUGAGAGAGAGAUACUAUUGAAGUUGAAGCAUGAUCUCAUUGAUCCUUCAAAUAGACUUUCUUCUUGGAAUGUUUCUCUCAAUCCCAAUUGUUGCCACUGGUAUGGAGUUCUCUGCAACAACAUCACAUCUCAUGUUGCAGAGCUUCACCUCACCACUCCAUAUCCUCUUUACGAUGAGAUCCUAGAUGAUGUUGUUUAUGACGAAGCAUACGAAGAGUACAAUAGAAGGGCAUUCAGUGGAGAGAUAAAUCCUUGUUUGGUUGAUUUGAAGCAUUUGAAUUACUUGGAUUUCAGCGGCAAUCAAUUUUAUGAGAAGUCAUUUCCUUCUUUCAUAGCAACAAUGACUUCCUUAACUCACCUCAACCUUUCUAAUGCUGGAUUCACGGGGAACAUUCCUCCUCAGAUUGGAAAUCUCUCCAAUUUACUGUAUCUUGAUUUAAGUGAUGCUGCCAGUGGAAGAAUUCCUCCUCAGAUAAGAAAUCUCUCCAACUUGCUCCACCUCGACCUCGGAGGAUAUUAUGAUUAUGAAGAUGUUGAUUGGCUGUCAAGUCUUUCCAAGCUUUGUUAUCUUGACUUGGAGAACACUAAUCCACUUGUAGGAGGUAUGUCAUUUCCUUCUUUUCUUGGCUCAAUGACCAACUUAAUUCACUUGGACCUCUCUUAUUCUGGAUUUAUGGGCAACAUUCCUCCCCAGAUUGGUAAUCUUUCCAAUUUGGCUUAUCUAGAUUUAAGUUAUGCUGCUAAUGGAAUUAUUCCCUCUCAAAUUGGGAAUCUCUCCAACUUGCUUUACCUUGAUCUUCAAAGUGGUUAUUCUAUUGAGAACACUUUGUUUGUUAGAAAUGUUGAUUGGUUAUCAAGUCUUUCAAAACUUGGAUAUCUUGAUUUGAGAGGUGCAAACCUAUCCCAAUCAUUUCAAUUGCUUCAUACCCUCCAACUUCUUUCUUCUUUGAAGCACUUACAUUUGUCAGGAUGUACACUCUCUUCGUAUAAUCAACCAUCCUUUGUUAACUUUUCGUCUCUCAUCACUCUUGAUCUUUC
rnacentral:lncRNA from 1 species